rnacentral:rRNA from 1 species
AACGAACGCUGGCGGCAUGCCUAACACAUGCAAGUCGAACGAGACCUUCGGGUCUAGUGGCGCACGGGUGCGUAACGCGUGGGAAUCUGCCCUGGGGUGCGGAAUAACUCGGAGAAAUCCGUGCUAAUACCGCAUAAUGUCUUCGGACCAAAGAUUUAUUGCCCUGGGAUGAGCCCCGCGUAGGAUUAGCUUGUUGGUGA